rnacentral:lncRNA from 1 species
CCCGAUUCCAACCCUCAAACAGUAAAUCCUAAAUCUCUCUCCCUUCUACCUCUCUCUCUCUCUCUCUAUAUUCCAUCUUUACCCCUUUCCCAAUCUGUGCCCGCUCUAUUCUGACCGGCAGGCGCCUUACAGUAGUGUCACACGAGAAGGUGGCUCUUCUCUUGAGCGAUGUCAUGGAAGGUGGUGUGCAUAGCGAUGCCUCACACGAAGAGCGAUGAAACAGGUUUUCUAGUGGUGUGGUUGAUCAUCACAACGACGCUCUUCACUAUCCAUCAGUAGUUCACAGGUCUCGGAUCUAUCAGAUCGCCACUGAGAGUUUGGGAUUCGUCUGGCUGAAGCAGAAAAAGAGUAAGAUGCACCAAAACUAAUAAACUAUGGUAAUUUAUGUUUUGCAAUUGUUGGUGACAGUGUGAUAGUGAUGAUUUUAGCGAUGGUGGGGAGGUGAUAUUGGCUUUGGUUGUGCAAUGACUUUGAGUAGUGGUGAUGGUGCAGGAGAUGGUGGUCAUUGUUGUCGUUGUUGUCGUUGUGAUGUGGUGGUGGGUGUUGAUUUGUUUGAGAUGGCAAUGAUGCGGCUGGGGCAGUGGUAUUUGGUUGAUGGUAACCAGUAAGCAAUAUGUAACUAAUGAAAUAAAUAAAUUAUAAUCAAUAAAACCUAAAAAUUUAUUAAUUUUUGAUAAAUAAUUUAAUAAUUUGGGACUAUGUAAUAAAUUGUAACUUAUAAAAUGUGUGAUUUAUGAUCAAUAAAUAAAUUAUGAGUUAUAAUUUUUUUUAUUUAUGCUCA